rnacentral:rRNA from 1 species
AACUGAAGAGUUUGAUCAUGGCUCAGAUUGAACGCUGGCGGCAGGCUUAACACAUGCAAGUCGAGCGGGGGAAGGUAGCUUGCUACUGGACCUAGCGGCGGACGGGUGAGUAAUGCUUAGGAAUCUGCCUAUUAGUGGGGGACAACAUCUCGAAAGGGAUGCUAAUACCGCAUACGUCCUACGGGAGAAAGCAGGGGAUCUUCGGACCUUGCGCUAAUAGAUGAGCCUAAGUCGGAUUAGCUAGUUGGUGGGGUAAAGGCCUACCAAGGCGACG